rnacentral:rRNA from 1 species
UNUGACUUGAGUGCAGAGGGGGAGAGUGGANUUCCAUGUGUAGCGGUGAAAUGCGUAGAUAUAUGGAGGAACACCAGUGGCGAAAGCGGCUCUCUGNUCUGUCACUGGCGCUGAGGCUCGAAAGCGUGGGUAGCGAACAGGAUUAGAUACCCUGGUAGUNCACGCCGUAAACGAUGGGUGCUAGGUGUUAGGCCCUUUCCGGGGCUUAGUGCCGGAGCUAACGCAAUAAGCACUCCGCCUGGGGAGUACGACCGCAAGGUUGAAACUCAAAGGAAUUGACGGGGGCCCGCACAAGCGGUGGAGCAUGUGGUUUAAUUCGAAGCAACGCGAAGAACCUUACCAGGUCUUGACAUCCCGAUGCUAUUCUUAGAGAUAGGAAGUUACUUCGGUACAUCGGAGACAGGUGGUGCAUGGUUGUCGUCAGCUCGUGUCGUGAGAUGUUGGGUUAAGUCCCGCAACGAGCGCAACCCUUAUUGUUAGUUGCCAUCAUUAAGUUGGGCACUCUAGCGAGACUGCCGGUAAUAAACCGGAGGAAGGUGGGGAUGACGUCAAAUCAUCAUGCCCCUUAUGACCUGGGCUACACACGUGCUACAAUGGUCGGUACAACGAGUUGCGAGCCGGUGACGGCAAGCUAAUCUCUGAAAGCCGAUCUCAGUUCGGAUUGGAGGCUGCAACUCGCCUCCAUGAAGUCGGAAUCGCUAGUAAUCGCGGAUCAGCACGCCGCGGUGAAUACGUUCCCGGGCCUUGUACACACCGCCCGUCACACCACGAGAGUUUGUAACACCCGAAGUCGGUGAGGUAACCUUUUAGGGGCCAGCCGCCUAAG